CUAGGGCUGAAAUUGAGAAACUCCGCUCCACAUGAACCACAAAUAAAAGGAAGAAAUUCAGGAGACGACCCACAGACCCUCUGAAGGAAGUGGACUGCUCCUGCAGGACCCGGGAGACACCACAAAUACAGUGAGUGCCCAACUGUGGAAGUGGGAAAGGGAGACCCUCCUCUCCUGAACACACGGCCCCACAGGGGAGGCUGAAGGUCUGUUUGCGGAUAAGUUUCCGACCUUACCUGGAGCUGAGCCAAUUUUGAGAGCUGAAAUGCAGGGGUAGAGGAAGCAGCAGAAACGCCCUGGGAGCUCGCUAUGUCCCCUUGCUAGGGACAUUCCUUCCUGGCACCACAGAGAUCCAUCAGGGGACACAAGAGGCGAUUUCAAGAAACACUAAUAGGAUUGUGAGAAAGUUGGCCAAGGAAGAGGAACAGCCAAUAAACGGUGACUUGUCAAGACAGUUAGGACCCUGGGAGCUAAAUCUGCCUGGAGAACUCUGGAAAUCAGUGUGGAACACAUACUUCAGCAUCAUCUCAGCUAAUGGACAAGUAAGAUGGAGUACUGCUGGGUGGCCAGGCUGGAGUGCAGUGGUGCGAUCUCGGCUCACUGCAAUCUCUGCCUCCUGGGUUCAAGUGAUUCCUCUCCCUCAGCCUACCGAGUAGCUGGGACUACAGGUGUGCACCAUCACGCCCGGCUAAUUUUUUGUCUUUUAGUAGAGACAGGGUUUCACCAUGUUGGCCAGGAUGGAGUCAAUCUCCUGACCUCAACGAUCUGCCCGCCUCGGCCUCCCAAAGUGCUGGGAUUACAGGCGUGAGCCACCGCUCCCAGCUUAAUAAACUUUCUUAACUCUCACAGCUUCCCUUCCAGUCUUACAUAGCUUGUUUCACAUAAGAGUUACCUAGCUAAAGCAACUCAUUUCUUUAAGUGCUGAGCAUUUCCUCCUGUAUAAUCUCUACUUGGGGCUGCUUACCGGUUCUACUCUAGUUUCUACACAUUGUCAUGAGAUGGGAUAGUUCCCUUGACCCCCUUCACAGGCAUUUCACCCCCUUCAAUCAUUUCACUUAGCUUGAUGCUGGCCACUUCUCGCGAGAGGGAGCCUGUGAGCAAAUGAGUGUGUGAACCAAGUGAACAAACUCUGGAACUGAAGUGAACGAAUGCUGAAACCAGCCGGUCGCACCUCUCUGGUGGGAGCAGGCUUUGUGCAGGGCCCGCAGCAGCGUCCAAGAGAGUUACAACCAAUGGUCUUUCAGCUCUGCCGUCUGGGGACGGCCAAGUGCCAACCACCUCAGGGGAGGGUCAGGGUGGCAGCCCCUGCCCUCCCGACACCCAGGUUCUUGUCCAGCAUCCAGGAAGAAUCAGGUCACACGAACUGUUUGAAAGGUGAUGAAUGCGGAAGACUUUAUUUAGCGGCACUUCAGGAAUAUACACAGAAAAUGAAAGCCCAUUGUUUGAACAGAUUUCAUUAAACGAGAGCUCUACUUUAAGAAGAAGAAAAAAAUUGUAGACUACCAGAUGUUAUGGAUCUACAGGUUGGAUUCUUUGUGUUAUGAUUAAGCAAAGAUCAUUAAAGAUCAUUAAACAGAUAAUAUAUUUCACUCAGUGCUGUGAAGAUAAUUGACAUCUCUUAUUAUCAACAUCAUUUAGAAGCCCUUGGGCCUUUUCUCUCUUUUGUACAAACAGCAUUUUUAUGAGUUAAAAGCCUGGGAAUGAGUGGUGGGCACAAGGCAGUGUUCAUUUGGAAGCAAUAAGAAUACAGUCUUAAAAGUGAAGCCACUUCAUUAUCAUUUCAUAUAAAACAUGGCAAUCUUGGCUGGACUGUGAAACUCAUUUCCAAGUGUGGCCAGGCUCCAAGUGAAUGCUUGCUAUCACAGAAGCUGUAUGUUUUUAUUAACCCCAGGACAUUGCACUGAUGAUGACAAAAAUUUGCACUUCCUGACUCCAACUUUAUUUCUAAACUAAUUAUAAUUAUAUUAUAUUUCAUUAGAUCGAAGACACUAUCAACUAUUAUUUAUUGCUAAGAAAGAAAAUACCUCUAAUAAAACUUUUACAUGUCAUCAAUUUCAAGAUACAUCUCAAUGUCUGAUAAAUUAAAAUCUUUAAAUUGACAAGAAUUAUAAGACAAAGAAAUAAAGCACAUAAGGCAGAAGGCAAAAAUAAUUCCUUUACUACUGACCAAACUGUUAUUAGCAGAAGUGUGUUAUAUUUGGGAUGAUAACAUCUUAAUACUAAGCCUCAGAAAUAGCAGAAUUGUACACAGCACAACUUGACUGGUAGGAUUCCACAUAUGGCAGUUGUACAUCAUGAUGGGUGCAACAGAAUAUACACUUCUUGCAGACAGUUCACUUGCAAAAGUAAGGAGAAAGAAAUGAAUUGUUUAUACACACCUAAUAUCUUCUUCCACACUCAUACAGAUAAGACACUUUACCUCCUCCAGGACACAGUAGGUAGAGGGGAAGAUGGUUUUCACUGUUUCUUUUCAGGAAAGGUCUCGGAAGUCAUGAUAUGGCAGGAAGGAAACCUCCCCCUUUUAAUAAAUAUGUACAUCAAGUAGUAGAAAACAUAUUUUUCUUCUUUUCUCCCUGCUCAAGUGAUAACAGUCUUAAUUCACUUCUAGAAAUUUGCUUAGAAAGUCAGACAUUUAAGACCUGAGGUAGACACCCAGGGUCCUCUCCUACAAGACUUACAGCACUUAAGCUCCCAGUAGUUUUAAAACCAAGAAGAGUAGAAACGAACCUCCUGUCCUGCACAUUUUACACUUUCUGGUUAUUGUUGAUUAUAGUCCAUAAAAAAACUGGUGCUUCACAGGCACCAUAGAGAACCCUGGUGGUGGCAGAAAACUGAUCCUGUUCACAUGUCUCAUUUGCAUUAUUUUGCAUGAUUCCUCCCCUGUUUGUAUUAGUCCAUCACCUUAUGCCUUAGAUCCCAGGUUGUUCUUGCAUCCAAAAAUCUUUUGGAGUUUCAUGCUUCUUUAGGGCACUCAGUUGCUUACUUACUCUGUGGCUGGCCCCUAUGUCACUUUGAGU
rnacentral:lncRNA from 10 species